CAUCUAGGCAAUAUAGUGGAGUGGUUUAAAGCAUAGUUCUGGACUCAGACUUCCCUAUACAAAUCCAAAAUGCUUUGUUAAAGUUGGAGCACCUUUUGAACAGAGCUGGCUGUGAUCAUAUUUGCUGCUAAGUGGAUUAAUGAGACUGACGUUUACUAGACAAAAGACAGAUGGCUACUCAGUGAGGAAAAUGGAAUCCUGGCUGAAAGGCAAGCCUGUAAUCUAUUUGUCACAGUGCCCAAGCAGAGCACAACACCGAAUAUUUUAUUCACACUGCGGUGCUGAGAGCCAGAUGUGGAUAAGAAAAAUUGCACUGGAGUCUGUUGUAUUAUGACUGAGACAAGUUAUCUAUAAAGAGCUUUUCAGAAAACAAGAGCUCACAGCUUAGAGGAAUAGGACCAAAGAUCAGAAAGCUUUAAACAACCUACAGUAAGGGGACAAGCAGGGUCUUAUAUGGAGAAGCAUGGAGUCAAGUGUAAAUACCUAUGUAGAAAUCCAUUCAUGCUUUCCCAGCUGGAUCCUUCAAGGGCAAGUAGGGGCCAUUUAAGCAGUCUGAACUGGGCAGGCUUUUAAUAUUGUUACAUAUUAUUAUAUCACAACUGCCUAUAUCAUCGACCAUUUACAGAACACCUGAACCAGAAAUGUCUGAGCCAGAACCAGGAGUUCGGGGAUUGACUUUCUUCUGUGGUGCCUCCAGGAGCCAUUGUUUAUAACAUUUCUACCAAGUUCCAAGGAAGAGUUUGACUUGUAUAUUUAUCUCUGUGGCCCAUUGGAUGGCAUGGGGAGGAACCUGCUCUAGCCUUCUCAAAUUUUCUUCUCUGGUUUCAUGCUCUAACAACUGCAUAAUCCUUGUAGGGCCUAUGGAAGGAGCAGGCAGAGCCAGUGUCCAUUCCUGCUGUCAACAGAAUACAGUUGUGCUCCUAGGCUUGAUUUGGAGUUGUUCUUGCCCGUAUGUUUUUUAAAAUAGCUGUGCACUGUGGCCUCUGAGCCAGAGCAGUGAGCCUCCUUGGAGGUAUUUGUAUUUGCAAAAUGAAUAGCAUUUUUUUCUCCUUAAAUAGGGUGAUUGUCCUACUCUCUAUCAAUAUCUAUCUGUCCAUUCCUCAUUCAAUCUCACUAAUUCAUUCAAAUAUUUAUUAAGCACACCCCCCAAACAUUUAAAAAAAAAAUUUUCCAGCACUUGAGGGUUAUGAUAGUUUAAUACCUAGUUUAUAUACUGCUUUUUGGAUCUCUCACUUGUUUUUUUAAGUGUCUAAUCAUCAAGGCAUCUCCUCAUUCAACUGUGAAAUAAGUCAAAAGCACAAAUACUUAAAUUAAGAAACCCAAAGAUUUUCCGC
rnacentral:lncRNA from 1 species